GAUGAACGCUGGCGGCGUGCUUAACACAUGCAAGUCGAACGGGAAAUAUUUCAUUGAGACUUCGGUGGAUUUGAUUUAUUUCUAGUGGCGGACGGGUGAGUAACGCGUGGGUAACCUGCCUUAUACAGGGGGAUAACAGUCAGAAAUGGCUGCUAAUACCGCAUAAGCGCACAGAGCUGCAUGGCUCAGUGUGAAAAACUCCGGUGGUAUAAGAUGGACCCGCGUUGGAUUAGCUAGUUGGUGGGGUAACGGCCCACCAAGGCGACGAUCCAUAGCCGGCCUGAGAGGGUGAACGGCCACAUUGGGACUGAGACACGGCCCAGACUCCUACGGGAGGCAGCAGUGGGGAAUAUUGCACAAUGGGGGAAACCCUGAUGCAGCGACGCCGCGGGAAGGAAGAAGUAUCUCGGUAUGUAAACUUCUAUCAGCAGGGAAGAUAGUGACGGUACCUGACUAAGAAACCCCGGCUAACUACGU
rnacentral:rRNA from 1 species